CGGGACGGGUGAGUAAUGUCUGGGAAACUGCCUGAUGGAGGGGGAUAACUACUGGAAACGGUAGCUAAUACCGCAUAACGUCGCAAGACCAAAGAGGGGGACCUUCGGGCCUCUUGCCAUCGGAUGUGCCCAGAUGGGAUUAGCUAGUAGGCGGGGUAACGGCUCACCUAGGCGACGAUCCCUAGCUGGUCUGAGAGGAUGACCAGCCACACUGGAACUGAGACACGGUCCAG
rnacentral:rRNA from 1 species